AAACUCCACUUGUCGCCUAGAACGCUACGUCCUGUAGCAGCAGCGACAUGACCAACUUCCUGUUGG
rnacentral:sRNA from 1 species